GCCUGUGAAGAAGACUAGGGGGAGGUAGUGGAGCUUCACUGGCCACUGGAGGUGGAGGAGGAGCUCCACUGGGCCCUGGAGGUGGAGGAGCUCCACUGGGUCCUGGAGGUGGAGGAGCUCCACUGGGUCCUGGAGGUGGAGGUGGAGUUCCAUUUUGCACUGCAACUGGAGGAGGAGGAGCUCCACUGGGUCCUGGAGCUAGAGGAGCCCCUUUGCGCAUUGGAGGUGGAGGUGGACGACCUC